rnacentral:misc_RNA from 1 species
GGCUAUUCCAUAUCAGCAUCUUUUCUCUAGAUCAAAUCUUUAGUAGUAGUCUAGAACCUCUACAGAAGUUCGAUCUGAUCGUUUUUUGCUGCAUAAACCCCAAUCAACAAUGCCGAUGACAGUGAUAGAAGUGGCAGCGCCGAGUCCAAUGAGGUACAUGAUGGGAGCUGCUGUAAUGAUGAUCGGCGUUGUUUUGCCUCUUGCUUAUAUGAUGUUUAGGAACAAACGUGUUCCUUCCUCUUCUUCUUAUUCUAAACAGACGAAUAAGGUUCUUAUAUAGAUUAUGGAGGCAUACUCAGAAUGAACUUUUGUUAAAGAGAAACAAGGAGAAGAGCAGAGGUGGCAACUCAGCAAUUGUCGUAAAUGCAUUAACUUUCUUAUUUGGAUUGAGACUUCUUGAACUAUAUUGUUAAUUUUUACUAAACUUUAGGAUUUUUCUUUCCCAGAGAUUAGACCAUGCUCUCCUCUCAAGGAUAUAGUUUAGCUUGGUAAUCACAAGUCGAAUAGAAAGAAAACCCACUACCGCUGUAUUAUUAUUAUUAUUUCAUAUAUGAUUGAUUUUUUUU